ACAGCAGUAGCCGCGGGAACACGGAGGGUGCAAGCGUUAAUCGGAAUUACUGGGCGUAAAGCGCACGCAGGCGGUCUGACAAGUCAGAUGUGAAAUCCCCGGGCUUAACCUGGGAACUGCAUUUGAAACUGUCAGGCUAGAGUCUUGUAGAGGGGGGUAGAAUUCCAGGUGUAGCGGUGAAAUGCGUAGAGAUCUGGAGGAAUACCGGUGGCGAAGGCGGCCCCCUGGACAAAGACUGACGCUCAGGUGCGAAAGCGUGGGGAGCAAACAGGAUUAGAUACCCGCGUAGUCCCUGUCUCUUAUAA
rnacentral:rRNA from 1 species